rnacentral:lncRNA from 1 species
CUGAGUUUACAACGGUAUGGGUUGUCUCCUUCCACACUAACCCUAUCCUGGCAUCUACUCUUUCGGAUGAUGAGAGAAGGGAGCCCACAAUUCCACCCUCAUCAUCAUCAUCCAUAUGGGUACCAACCUCAAUGGUGUCAAGUCCUUGCUUUUAGCAUGGAGGAACCUCUACAUUUGAUCAACACGGUCCUUUUCCAUGCCUCCAACGACGACACCAUAAGCAGCCUUCCGCUCAUCUGCCAUCCGUCAUGCAUCCAUAUUGACCUUCAGUUUCGUAUCUCUAGGUGCUUCCACUUUGCAGUCCUUGGCCUAAUGGGUCAGCAUAGGUCCAUGAGUGAGGUUAUGCACUCUAAAAUCUUUUUGGAGAGUCCUUGCCCAAAUCAGAGCAUCUUGGGGUACCUUGGACCAGCUCCAUGUUCCACACAUUCCAAAAUUGCCAUAGCACAAGUAGAAGGCUCGUGAAGGUCUUCUUGUCCAAAGUUGCACAAGGCUUGUGUGGGUUGGGGGAAGAAGGGAAAUGUUUUUAGUUUUUAAACAUCAUCCCUCAUUAACUGCAUGUUGCCAUCUGUGUAUUUAAUUCCUUUUAUGAUGAAUGAUAUAUAAAGCAAUUGAAGGCAUCAAUAUUGCAAAUUUAGAGCAUAGCAGUUUUGAGCUGUUUACCUGAAAAUAUGUAACACUAAAGUUAUACUGCAGACUGUUUAAAACAAGUUUAUUCCUUUGAGAGUGAGAAAUUGAAAAAGGAUAGUCUAAGAUAUGAAUGAUGCGAAUCCCAUCAGCAAACAUUAUAAUAAUGAUGCACGUAAAUUUGCUUAGAUUGGACAGACCAACAGUUUCUCUCAGAAUCAAAAUUAAUCAUUCAUACAAUUCAUAUCAUGAUAGAGUUCCGGUGGAGCAAUUUCAUACAUGAUGGAUUGGUGUAUGUGGGUCUAGGUGUUAGUCAGUAGGACAGAUGCAGCCGCACGAUUAU